AGCGAACGUUUGCGGCGGGCUUAACACAUGCAAGUCGAACGAGAAUCCCUUCGGGGAGGAAAGUGGCGCACGGGUGCGUAACACGUGGAUAACCUACCCAUUGGUUUGGGACAACACCGGGAAACUGGUGCUAAUACCAGAUGUGUCGCAGCUGUCUUCAGGCGGUUGCGAGAAAGGCCCGCAAGGGUCGCCAACGGACGGGUCCGCGUCCCAUCAGCUAGUUGGUGAGGUAAUGGCUCACCAAGGCAAAGACGGGUAGCUGGUCUGAGAGGAUGAUCAGCCACACUGGAACUGAGACACGGUCCAGACUCCUACGGGAGGCAGCAGUGGGGAAUAUUGCGCAAUGGGCGAAAGCCUGACGCAGCCACGCCGCGUGAGCGAUGAAGGUCUUCGGAUCGUAAAGCUCUGUGGGGGAGGAAGAAGAAAGACGGUC
rnacentral:rRNA from 1 species